rnacentral:rRNA from 1 species
GAUGAACGCUGGCGGCGUGCCUAAUACAUGCAAGUAGAACGCUGAAGCUUGGUGCUUGCACCGAGCGGAUGAGUUGCGAACGGGUGAGUAACGCGUAGGUAACCUGCCUCUUAGCGGGGGAUAACUAUUGGAAACGAUAGCUAAUACCGCAUAAAAGUCGAUAUCGCAUGAUAUUGAUUUGAAAGGCGCAAAUGCAUCACUAAGAGAUGGACCUGCGUUGUAUUAGCUAGUUGGUGAGGUAACGGCUCACCAAGGCGACGAUACAUAGCCGACCUGAGAGGGUGAUCGGCCACACUGGGACUGAGACACGGCCCAGACUCCUACGGGAGGCAGCAGUAGGGAAUCUUCGGCAAUAGGGGCAACCCUGACCGAGCAACGCCGCGUGAGUGAAGAAGGGUUUCGGAUCGUAAAGCUCUGUUGUAAGAGAAGAACGAGUGUGAGAGUGGAAAGUUCACACUGUGACGGUAACUUACCAGAAAGGGACGGCUAACUACGUG